GAUGAACGCUGGCGGCGUGCUUAACACAUGCAAGUCGAACGGAAAGGCUCCUGCUUGCAGGGGUACUCGAGUGGCGAACGGGUGAGUAACACGUGGGUGAUCUGCCCUGCACUUCGGGAUAAGCCUGGGAAACUGGGUCUAAUACCGGAUAGGACCACAUUUUGGAUGGUGUGGUGGAAUGUUUUUCGGUGUGGGAUGAGCUCGCGGCCUAUCAGCUUGUUGGUGGGGUAAUGGCCUACCAAGGCGUCGACGGGUAGCCGGCCUGAGAGGGUGUACGGCCACAUUGGGACUGAGAUACGGCCCAGACUCCUACGGGAGGCAGCAGUGGGGAAUAUUGCACAAUGGGCGCAAGCCUGAUGCAGCGACGCCGCGUGGGGGAUGACGGCCUUCGGGUUGUAAACUCCUUUCGCUAGGGACGAAGCGCAAGUGACGGUACCUGGAGAAGAAGCACCGGCUAACUACGUG
rnacentral:rRNA from 1 species